GGCCCCAUCGUCUAGCCAGGUCAGGACGCCGCCCUUUCAAGGCGGUAGCACGGGUUCGAAUCCCGUUGGGGCCA
rnacentral:tRNA from 2 species